rnacentral:rRNA from 1 species
UACGUAGGGCGCAAGCGUUGUCCGGAAUUAUUGGGCGUAAAGAGCUCGUAGGCGGUCUGUCGCGUCGGCUGUGAAAACUCGGGGCUCAACUCCGAGCUUGCAGUCGAUACGGGCAGGCUAGAGUUCGGCAGGGGAGACUGGAAUUCCUGGUGUAGCGGUGAAAUGCGCAGAUAUCAGGAGGAACACCGAUGGCGAAGGCAGGUCUCUGGGCCACUACUGACGCUGAGAAGCGAAAGCAUGGGGAGCGAACAGG